AAUAGCACACUUUCUAGAAGAAAGAGAGAAGAAAUAUCACCACCAGUCCACCACUGUCUGACUGCUCGGACCGUCUCUCCCAGCCGCCACAGUCGGUGCCCUUUACCGGUUGUCUUCUUCGUGUUCCUGCACUACGCGAAAUCUCAUUCCUCUUCUCCUACCUUCUCUUCCAACUUCCAUUAAAGAGUUCAAGCUUCCCAAGCUUCAGUUUUGGUUGUGAAUCAAGCUCUGCAGUUUCAAUUUGCAUUCAACGUCAGAAUUCCAUACUCUGUUGCAAUCGCAAAUCAACAUUUUCCCUUCUCUUCGGCAAAUACGUCCACAUUCAAUCCCCAAUUUCCCCCCUUUCUCAUUCUUCAAGGAUAAAGGAGUAUUUUCCCUAAUGUCUACCGUUGGCAAUUCAACUAAUAUUUUCUGGCACGAAUGCCCUGUUGGGAAGGUUGACAGGCAAAAACUGCUUAAUCAACAGGGAUGCGUUGUAUGGAUUACUGGUUUGAGUGGAUCAGGUAAAAGUACCCUAGCAUGCUCACUGGAUAGAACAUUGCACUCUCGGGGGAAACUUUCAUAUGUUCUCGAUGGGGACAACCUUAGGCAUGGUCUAAACAAAAAUCUAGGCUUCUCACCUGAGGAUCGGACUGAAAAUAUACGCAGGGUUGGGGAAGUUGCAAAGCUCUUUGCUGAUGCUGGAUUAAUCUGCAUUGCUAGUUUGAUAUCUCCUUAUUGUAAAGACCGUGAUGCUUGUCGUGCAUUAUUGCCAGAAAACUUUUUUGAGGUCUUCCUAAACAUGCCUUUAGAGUUGUGUGAAGAAAGGGAUCCCAAAGGUCUUUACAAGCUUGCACGAGCUGGGAAGAUCAAAGGGUUUACAGGAAUAGAUGAUCCAUACGAACCACCUUCGAAUUGUGAGAUUGAGAUAACCCAGAAGGAUGGAAUUUGCCCGACACCGAAUGAGAUGGCUGGGCAGGUGGUAUCAUACCUGGAAGACAAAGGAUAUCUUGAAGCUCAGUAACCAUACGAAAUGUUUCAUGACAUGCUGAUUAUUGAUGUUUAGAUUAGAUGAUAAUUAUGAUAUUAUAGAUUGAUUGCUCUUUUUCUUCGUUUUUUUGGUCCUUCUUUUGAACAUUACUAGUCCAACAAUUUGUGUUGUAUUGUAUUUUUUAUGAAUAUAAAUAUAUAAAAUGUGGCAUGAAUAUCUUGGAUAUUUUGAUGGAAAAUUGCAACAAGGUAGGUCCUAGUAGAUAAAGAGGUAUUUUCCUGAUAAAUGGCGCAUUAAUUUCGGAAUGUUGCUUCAUACUAAAGGCCAAAGUUGAGAUACUUGGAUAAGCAUUGACCAAGCAUGGUGUUGAACACCGCACUGGUGGUGGGGGUGGCGGAGCUGUCCGCGGUUGUGUGUCAAUGCUUAGCCUGCUUCCCGCAGCGGCUGCGCGGCGGUGAUGUCCUCCGCCUCCUUUUCUGGUGCCCCUUUGGCCGCCUCGCAGCCUUGUUCUGCUUUCCCCCGCCCCACCACCGAGAAGAAGACGACGACCACGACUUUCUCUAUUGAUUCAUGAAGGCAUCUCAGAUUUGUUGGGAUUGCUGUAGCUUAAGCUCCUUCAUUUCCUCCUCUAUCUUUUUUGUUUGGUGUUGAAGUUUCAAGUCUGGACUUCUGUGUUUAAGUCAUGUUGUCCAAUGAAAAAGAGAUGAAUCAUGAAAUGCAUUCUCUUUUAAAAAUAUUUUGUUUAUUAGUUUUAACAGAUAUAUUUAUUUUUAUUUUUAUUUUUAUCAAUUUACAGUAAAUUAGAUAAGUAAAUACUUCCUUGUUAAAUAUAUGAAAUUUGAGUUCGGUAUGAAUUUUAAUGUAAAAUUGAUAAAAUAAAAAAAAAAAAUGAGAAAUAAUCAAAGUAUUGUUAACAAAGAAGGACAGUUAUCUGAUUAGAGUGUGCAAAAUGAAAUGUCGGGAGUAAUAUUUUUGUGACUAACUUUAUACUGCGAGAUUUUAUAAUGAGAGGCGCAGCAUUUUGAGGGAAGGAAGAAACGAGCAAGAAGAAGAUGACGAGUGUCGCUGCGUCUCUAUCGCAUCGUAUCCCUCGUCUCACUCCAUCCUUUCCUUCUUUUUCUUCACGCUUAGUUGGUGUGAAGAUUAACAACAACAAAAAUGGGGGCAAUUAUCCUUCACUCCUCCUCCCCUCAUUCAAAUCACAAACACGCAUGGCUUCCACCAAUCAGAGUGCUUCGACUGCCGCCGAUGUCAACAACCCCCAACUUAAUGUCUUCCAACUCAUCCAAGCUCACCAGG